UUUGUUUUCAAGAAUACAUAAAACGUUAUCUGAGAAGCGAAAGCUUAUCAAAUGCUUCCUUUCGAAUUCAUUUUACAAACGUCUUGGUCCAUGGAAGAAAAGGGCUAGAGUUGGUCAUGCUUCUUGCGAGGUCAUCUACAUUGUUGCCACUGAGCAGUCUUCGUUUGACGAAACACCCGGAGAAGAAUUCAUCGGUAUAAGUGCGGGAUAUUUAAGGUUUCGCUAACCGUUUGGGUGCUGUUCCUCUGAAGGACGAACAGCUCAUUUCGGCAACGAGCACCGCACCAUUCCUGUGAGAGAGGAUGGCAAUUAACAGCAGAAACCUAACACUGGAGGGAUGACCGGGGCCUUGUACUUAUGUGACAACCAUAAAAACGACCAUAAUAGUAUUUUCCCAACUAGGUGUAUUUAACACAGCGAAACUCGUGAUCACCUUUCCUGAAGUUAAUUAAACGUCAAAGUGUCCCGUUAGUAUUCUAUGUUCACAAGAUGAAAAAAACUCAGCAGCAAGAAUAAUGAAAAGUUCUAUGGUGUUGUUUAUU